rnacentral:snRNA from 1 species
AUCAAGAACAAGCUGUCUGUGACAUCUGUUUAUCUGGCAAUCAGUUGCCAGAAUCGACUUGGUAGAUCUGCCUUGCUGGAAAGGUUUCCUCUUUCUUCCUGGAUGUGCCACACCUGUCUCUCUCAAAACUGUGCAUGCCAUUUAAAAGGCUGAUUUUCCUAGACAGAGCAGGGACAAGGGUCCUUAAGGAGUCAGCUUCUUCUGCUGGAAUAGCCAAAGCAUGUUAGAUGGUGAUCCUGCCUAGGAUAGAUAAUGAGCCACUUGAAGGUGAAGAUUUCAGCUCUUC